UUAAAUACCUUCAUUGUUUUUAAAGUCAUUCUAUAUAUUAUUUGCUUAUUUCGUAGUCUAUUCUCAUGACAUUCCACUGUGCUUUGUUUGCUACUUUCUUAUUUAUUCCCACAUCGAACUGGCCGAGUUUUCUUCUCAGCGCUUUACGCAAAUGUUUUCAAUGCGAAGGUCAAGUGAUUUGUUUAUGAGCACGGGACGCUCAACGGUUAGCAAUUUGUUGUGACAUGUGUAAGCGGCACGCCAGCAGCAGCAACAACAACAACAACAUGGAUAACAACAACAAGAACAACAACAACAGUGACAACAACAACUCAUUAACCCAUGCUGAACUCUGAAGCUCGAACUGAAUUAAGCAAGCAAGCCAAAGCAACCGGGCAACAUCUGUAAGCAGAGAGAGUGGAGAGCAGAGAGCAGAGAGCAGGAGCCAAAAGCCGGAUGAGGCAAUGGCGGGAAGAGGAAACAAAGAGGGGGUCUCAAGAGGGGGCGCGCAGAUUUUGCGUGUUGUGCAAAAGAGAGGAAUGCAACCGACAGAAACUGAAGACGGUCGACGGGACAGAUAACACCCAAGUUCCAGCUCUGACUCUGACUCUGACUCUGUCUCUGAGUCCGUGUCUUGGUCUGCAGUCAACAAAGCAGCCAAGUGACACUCACAAAAUCUGACAGAGGCAACGGCUUUAGACGCUUCUUAUUGUUGUUGCUGGUGCGCAUGCGCAGCCGUUUUGCUUUAUUACAAGGCGAAGGACCAGGAGAAAGAGAAGGAGUUGGAGUUGAAGUUGCAGUUAAAGUUGGAGCUGAAGUUGGGUCUCUGGGCACUGGGCACUGGGCAGGCGUGCGCAGGCGCGCCAAGUGACACAUGAAAACGAAAUGAAAAUGACAGCGGCAAGUGACAGCGUCGCCAUCAGAGGCAAAACAUGGCCAAAAGCUAUCAAUGACACUAGCUUAAAUAUAUUUAAAUUAAAUGUGAAGAACAAGCUCAAGAAGCAAUGAAGCAAGAACGAAUAAAAUAUAUAUUUAAAAUGUU